rnacentral:rRNA from 1 species
GACGAACGCUGGCGGCGUGCUUAACACAUGCAAGUCGAACGGAAAGGCCCUGCUUGUGUGGGGUGCUCGAGUGGCGAACGUGUGAGUAACACGUGAGUAACCUGCCCUUGACUUAAGGAUAACUUCCGGAAACUGGGGCUAAUACCGGAUAGGAGCUCCUGCUGCAUGGUGGGGGUUGGAAAGUUUCGGCGGUUGGGGAUGGACUCGCGGCUUAUCAGCUUGUUGGUGGGGUAGUGGCUUACCAAGGCUUUGACGGGUAGCCGGCCUGAGAGGGUGACCGGCCACAUUGGGACUGAGAUACGGCCCAGACUCCUACGGGAGGCAGCAGUGGGGAAUAUUGCACAAUGGGCGGAAGCCUGAUGCAGCAACGCCGCGUGCGGGAUGACGGCCUUCGGGUUGUAAACCGCUUUCGCCUGUGACGAAGCGAGAGUGACGGUAAUGGGUAAAGAAGCACCGGCUAACUACGUG